UGCAUUCACUACUGUGAGUCGCUCUGGAUAAGAGCGUCUGCAAAAUGACUAAAA
rfam:Salmo salar isolate Sally breed double haploid chromosome ssa09, whole genome shotgun sequence.